GGGGACGUGGAGGGCUCAUGACUAUCUUGUAACAUUUCACCGCAAAUUGACUGGCUAUGGGCCUCGUUGCAGGGGGCCAACAGCCCGAUCUUGGCCUUGGCAGCGGUAUUCGGCGGGAGCAUGAGCCUUGAUAACCCAAGCCCGCGAAUUUGUUUCCUCGGGACCUGGAGGGCGGGGCUGGGCCGACAGCUGUGGCAGGAAGAACUCGCCAAACACAAAGGUUGCCCUGUUUCUGACGCACAAAUUCAUUUUAUUGUUUUUGCAGUUCAUGAUGUUGGAGGCUCAGCCAACUUUGACCGGCGCUAUGUGGCUCCGAGCGCAUGGGCAACCCGCUCGCACACUUGCAUGCGGGCUAGUAUACCCACUCACUCGGAUGGGGCUGGACGCCUACCCCAUGGGCGGCUCACAUGUAUCUGUCAGCUUCACGGUCGUCCUGCUCUCGAUGUCGACCGGCACCUCGGUCUCACGCUCGUCCACUUCAGGGGCCACGAUGGCGGUGCUAGCCAGGGACGCGACACGCAGGGCCUGCCCCCCUCCCCGUCGCCGAGGACAUCCAGUCGACAGGGUCCAGUGAAACGCUAACAGGAGUCGCGCCGCCGAGGCCGGGGCUUCUGAUGACCCAGAACCGCCGCAUCGACUAAUGACACUUGCUGUUCUUUAACCAGUGAAUGAUGUUUUUAUUAUACAGUGAUUCUAAAUCUAAUGAAUUGGAUUCAAAUAUAAAAAGUAUUUCGGUUUGAAUUGUUGAUUGGUUUUCAUACAGGAAUUACAUCUGUAGUGUGCUUGAUAAAUUGAGGUUUAUCAUCCAUUACCGUGGUGGUACAAUCUAUCCUUACCUAGGCCAUCUAUAUGCCUUGACGAGAAGUUUUCUGAAGAUAGAUUAAACCUACGUCCUGGCUCCUUUCUUUCUGUAGACCUUCAAUAAUCAGUGUUCUUGACCAUGUGCCUCAUCACAAAGAUUUGACGCUGCUCAUAUAACAUCAUUUGGCAUUAUUGGACCUGCAGCUAAAUUGCUUACAACUCAUUGUAAAAGAGUACAUUGUCAUGCAGUUUCGAGCAUUAACAUCAGCUGCUGUUUUAGGUGCCACAAAAAACCAUAAUGGAUUCAACUCACUCAAAUGAGUACAGGAAGUUCAAGGAGAUCCUUAUGCCCAUUUGUCCCGCAUAAGAUACCUCAAGGAGUUCGCUUCUUUCAUACCCCAUCUCAUGUGAUUGCUGCAAUUCCACUCCUUUGUCUGUGUAUUUCCAUUUCCAGUUGCCUGUUGCACUUUAGGAGUGUUUUCCCAACUAGAAAUCUUACUUUGUUAUCUCCUACUUUAAACAUCUGUAUUGCCAUCACGGCUGCUGGUCAUUUUGGCAACAUGUGAUCUACUGGCAAUAUCAAAGUUAAGUAGCAUCAGUUUACUUUAUUCAUUUGCUGAAUACAAAGCAGAUGUUAAGAAUUACGAGUGCUCAGUGUCUAUGUUUUCCAGCCUAGUCGAUAUUUCUGAAAGUGUUGAUCAGAGGGAUUCAACAGGAUGUGUAAAGUCUUGAGCCUGAUGAGGCUGGUGAAAGGUCGAAUUGAUUGAUGUUGUUAUAUAAGAUGGUACACGUCUUACAAUCCACUCACUGCAUCUAUGUGAACAUCAUGGAAUUUAUUACUUCAGAUGCAAGUAGCAUGUUC